GUGUCAGCCGCCGCGGUAAUACGUAGGGUGCGAGCGUUGUCCGGAAUUAUUGGGCGUAAAGAGCUCGUAGGCGGUCUGUCGCGUCGAAUGUGAAAACCCGGGGCUCAACUCCGGGCUUGCAUUCGAUACGGGCAGGCUAGAGUUCGGUAGGGGAGUCUGGAAUUCCUGGUGUAGCGGUGAAAUGCGCAGAUAUCAGGAGGAACACCGGUGGCGAAGGCGGGACUCUGGGCCGAUACUGACGCUGAGGAGCGAAAGCGUGGGGAGCGAACAGGAUUAGAUACCCUGGUAGUCCACGCCGUAAACGUUGGGCGCUAGGUGUGGGGGUCCUUCCACGAUCUCCGUGCCGCAGCUAACGCAUUAAGCGCCCCGCCUGGGGAGUACGGCCGCAAGGCUAAAACUCAAAGAAAUUGACGG
rnacentral:rRNA from 1 species